rnacentral:tRNA from 1 species
GGUUCUAUGGUGUAAUGGUUAGCACUCUGGACUCUGAAUCCAGCGAACUGAGUUCGAAUCUCGGUAGGACCU